GGUUAAGCGACUAAGCGUACACGGUGGAUGCCCUGGCAGUCAGAGGCGAUGAAGGGCGUGCUAAUCUGCGAUAAGCGCCGGUAAGGUGAUAUGAACCGUUAUAACCGGCGAUACCCGAAUGGGGAAACCCAGUGUGAUUCGUCACACUAUCAUUAACUGAAUCCAUAGGUUAAUGAGGCGAACCGGGGGAACUGAAACAUCUAAGUACCCCGAGGAAAAGAAAUCAACCGAGAUUCCCCCAGUAGCGGCGAGCGAACGGGGAGGAGCCCAGAGCCUGAAUCAGCAUGUGUGUUAGUGGAAGCGUCUGGAAAGGCGCGCGAUACAGGGUGACAGCCCCGUACACAAAAGCGCAUAUGCUGUGAGCUCGAUGAGUAGGGCGGGACACGUGGUAUCCUGUCUGAAUAUGGGGGGACCAUCCUCCAAGGCUAAAUACUCCUGACUGACCGAUAGUGAACCAGUACCGUGAGGGAAAGGCGAAAAGAACCCCGGCGAGGGGAGUGAAAAAGAACCUGAAACCGUGUACGUACAAGCAGUGGGAGCCCCACCACUAAGCCAGUGGUGAACUCCACAUACGCAUCCUUUGCUGAGGAGACGGUUAACGGAGCGAAAGCGACGUUCAACCUCAAAAGAAGCAGAGGGGGCUUAGUGGUGGGGUGACUGCGUACCUUUUGUAUAAUGGGUCAGCGACUUAUAUUCUGUAGCAAGGUUAACUGUAUAGGGGAGCCGGAGGGAAACCGAGUCUUAACCGGGCGUUAAGUUGCAGGGUAUAGACCCGAAACCCGGUGAUCUAGCCAUGGGCAGGUUGAAGGUUGGGUAACACUAACUGGAGGACCGAACCGACUAAUGUUGAAAAAUUAGCGGAUGACCUGUGGCUGGGGGUGAAAGGCCAAUCAAACCGGGAGAUAGCUGGUUCUCCCCGAAAGCUAUUUAGGUAGCGCCUCGUGAAUUCAUCUCCGGGGGUAGAGCACUGUUUCGGCUAGGGGGCCAUCCCGGCUUACCAACCCGAUGCAAACUGCGAAUACCGGAGAAUGUUAUCACGGGAGACACACGGCGGGUGCUAAUGUCCGUCGUGAAGAGGGAAACAACCCAGACCGCCAGCUAAGGUCCCAAAGUCAUGGUUAAGUGGGAAACGAUGUGGGAAGGCCCAGACAGCCAGGAUGUUGGCUUAGAAGCAGCCAUCAUUUAAAGAAAGCGUAAUAGCUCACUGGUCGAGUCGGCCUGCGCGGAAGAUGUAACGGGGCUAAACCAUGCACCGAAGCUGCGGCAGCGACACCGUGUGUUGUUGGGUAGGGGAGCGUUCUGUAAGCCUGUGAAGGUGUGCUGUGAGGCAUGCUGGAGGUAUCAGAAGUGCGAAUGCUGACAUAAGUAACGAUAAAGCGGGUGAAAAGCCCGCUCGCCGGAAGACCAAGGGUUCCUGUCCAACGUUAAUCGGGGCAGGGUGAGUCGACCCCUAAGGCGAGGCCGAAAGGCGUAGUCGAUGGGAAACGGGUUAAUAUUCCCGUACUUGGUGUUACUGCGAAGGGGGGACGGAGAAGGCUAUGUUGGCCGGGCGACGGUUGUCCCGGUUUAAGCGUGUAGGUAUGUGUUCCAGGUAAAUCCGGUUCACUUUAACACUGAGGCGUGACGACGAGGCACUACGGUGCUGAAGCAACAAAUGCCCUGCUUCCAGGAAAAGCCUCUAAGCAUCAGGUAACAUCAAAUCGUACCCCAAACCGACACAGGUGGUCAGGUAGAGAAUACCAAGGCGCUUGAGAGAACUCG
rnacentral:rRNA from 3 species